rnacentral:rRNA from 1 species
UUGAACGCUGGCGGUAUGCUUAACACAUGCAAGUCGAACGGAAACGAUACUAGCUUGCUAGUAGGCGUCGAGUGGCGGACGGGUGAGUAACGCGUAGGAAUCUGCCUGAUAGUGGGGGAUAGCCCGAAGAAAUUCGGAUUAAUACCGCAUAAUCUAUUCGUAGUAAAGUGGGGGACUUUCGAGCCUCACGCUAUCAGAUGAGCCUGCGUAAGAUUAGCUUGUUGGUAGGGUAAAAGCCUACCAAGGCGACGAUCUUUAGCUGGUCUGAGAGGAUGAUCAGCCACAUCGGGACUGAGACACGGUCCGAACUCCUACGGGAGGCAGCAGUGGGGAAUAUUGGACAAUGGGGGCAACCCUGAUCCAGCAAUACCGCGUGUGUGAAGAAGGCCUGAGGGUUGUAAAGCACUUUCAAUUGUGAAGAAAAGUUAGCGGUUAAUAACCGUUAGCCUUGACGUUAACUUUAGAAGAAGCACCGGCUAACUCCGUGCCAGCAGCCGCGGUAAUACGGAGGGUGCAAGCGUUAAUCGGAAUUACUGGGCGUAAAGCGUGCGUAGGCGGUUUAUUAAGUCAGAUGUGAAAGCCCCGGGCUUAACCUGGGAACUGCAUUUGAAACUGGUCAACUAGAGUAUGGUAGAGGAAAGUGGAAUUUCUGGUGUAGCGGUGAAAUGCGUAGAUAUCAGAAGGAACAUCAAUGGCGAAGGCAGCUUUCUGGACCAAUACUGACGCUGAGGUACGAAAGCGUGGGUAGCAAACAGGAUUAGAUACCCUGGUAGUCCACGCCGUAAACGAUGAUAACUAGCCGUUGGGGGGAUUUACCCUUUAGUGGCGAAGCUAACGCGUUAAGUUAUCCGCCUGGGGAGUACGGCCGCAAGGUUAAAACUCAAAGGAAUUGACGGGGACCCGCACAAGCGGUGGAGCAUGUGGUUUAAUUCGAUGCAACGCGAAGAACCUUACCUGGUCUUGACAUCCUGCGAACUUUCUAGAAAUAGAUUGGUGCCUUCGGGAACGCAGUGACAGGUGCUGCAUGGCUGUCGUCAGCUCGUGUCGUGAGAUGUUGGGUUAAGUCCCGUAACGAGCGCAACCCCUAUCCUUAUUUGCCAGCACAUCAUGGUGGGAACUAUAAGGAGACUGCCGGUGAUAAACCGGAGGAAGGCGGGGACGACGUCAAGUCAUCAUGGCCCUUACGACCAGGGCUACACACGUGCUACAAUGGGAAGGACAAAGAGCCGCGAAGCCGCGAGGUGUAGCUAAUCUCAUAAACCUUUUCGUAGUCCGGAUUGGAGUCUGCAACUCGACUCCAUGAAGUCGGAAUCGCUAGUAAUCGUAGAUCAGAAUGCUACGGUGAAUACGUUCCCGGGUCUUGUACUCACCGC